AUUGAACGCUGGCGGCAUGCUUUACACAUGCAAGUCGAACGGUAACAGGCCUUCGGGUGCUGACGAGUGGCGAACGGGUGAGUAAUGCAUCGGAACGUGCCCAGAGGUGGGGGAUAAUGCAGCGAAAGCUGUGCUAAUACCGCAUGUGAUCUGAGGAUGAAAGCGGGGGACCAGGCAGCAAUGUUUGGCCUCGCGCCUUUGGAGCGGCCGAUGUCAGAUUAGGUAGUUGGUGGGGUAAAGGCCUACCAAGCCGACGAUCUGUAGCUGGUCUGAGAGGACGACCAGCCACACUGGGACUGAGACACGGCCCAGACUCCUACGGGAGGCAGCAGUGGGGAAUUUUGGACAAUGGGCGCAAGCCUGAUCCAGCAAUGCCGCGUGCGGGAAGAAGGCCUUCGGGUUGUAAACCGCUUUUGUACGGAAAGAAAAGGCUCUGGCUAAUACCUGGGGCUGAUGACGGUACCGUAAGAAUAAGCACCGGCUAACUACGUG
rnacentral:rRNA from 1 species